GGGUGAGUAACGCGUAAGGAACUUGCCUCUUGGUCUGGGACAACUGUUGGAAACGACAGCUAAUACCGGAUAUUAUGAGAUUCUCGCAUGAGAAACUUAUGAAAGCUAUAUGCGCCAAGAGAGAGCCUUGCGUUCCAUUAGCUAGUUGGUGGGGUAACGGCCCACCAAGGCGACGAUGGAUAGCCGGCCUGAGAGGGUGAACGGCCACAAGGGGACUGAGACACGGCCCUUACUCCUACGGGAGGCAGCAGUGGGGAAUAUUGGACAAUGGGCCACAAGCCUGAUCCAGCAAUUCUGUGUGCACGAUGAAGGUCUUCGGAUUGUAAAGUGCUUUCAGUUGGGAAGAAGAAAGUGACGGUACCAACAGAAGAAGCGACGGCUAAAUACGUGCCAGCAGCCGCGGUAAUACGUAUGUCGCAAGCGUUAUCCGGAUUUAUUGGGCGUAAAGCGCGUCUAGGCGGAAAAAUAAGUCUGAUGUUAAAAUGCGGGGCUCAACUCCGUAUUGCGUUGGAAACUGUUUUUCUAGAGUACUGGAGAGGUGGGCGGAACUACAAGUGUAGAGGUGAAAUUCGUAGAUAUUUGUAGGAAUGCCGAUGGAGAAGUCAGCUCACUGGACAGAUACUGACGCUGA
rnacentral:rRNA from 1 species